rnacentral:rRNA from 1 species
GAUGAACGCUGGCGGCGUGCUUAACACAUGCAAGUCGAACGGAAAGGCUCCUGCUUGCAGGGGUACUCGAGUGGCGAACGGGUGAGUAACACGUGGGUGAUCUGCCCUGCACUUCGGGAUAAGCCUGGGAAACUGGGUCUAAUACCGGUUAGGACGAUGGUUUGGAUGCCAUUGUGGAAAGUUUUUCGGUGUGGGAUGAGCUCGCGGCCUAUCAGCUUGUUGGUGGGGUAAUGGCCUACCAAGUCGUCGACGGGUAGCCGGCCUGAGAGGGUGUACGGCCACAUUGGGAAGGAGAUACGGCCCAGACUCAUACGGGAGGAAGCAGUGGGGAAUAUUGCACAAUGGGCGCAAGCCUGAUGCAGCGACGCCGCGUGGGGGAUGACGGCCUUCGGGUUGUAAACUCCUUUCGCUAGGGACGAAGCGCAAGUGACGGUACCUGGAGAAGAAGCACCGGCUAACUACGUG